CUGCUGCCUUCCGUAGGAGUCUGGUCCGUGUCUCAGUACCAGUGUGGGGGACCUUCCUCUCAGAACCCCUACGCAUCGUCGUCUUGGUGGUCCGUUACACCGCCAACUAACUAAUGCGACGCAUGCCCAUCCGCCACCGGAAUCAAACCUUUGGCACCAACAGGAUGUCCCGUCGAUGCAUUAUGCCGUAUUAGACGGAAUUUCUCCCGAUUAUCCGGCUGUGGCAGGCAGGUUGCAUACGUGUUACUCACCCG
rnacentral:rRNA from 1 species